GGUGAAAAGAUAAUUUUACUAAUAUUUUACCAAAAAAAAUUUACAAUGUAUACUCUUCACGCUAAAGUAGUUGGUAUUUUUCCGGGAGAAUUCCAGAAGCAACUUGGCGAUAGAUUCCAUGCUGGACCUCUGGGUGCCGCUGUCGUCCAGUCCGUGGCCAUUCUGACCCAGUGAUCUCUGCAGGCUUUCGUAAACACAUCCCUAAAAUGCACGGCCCGGCCCUGCACUCGGUUUGAAUCUCUUAGCGCCCUAUCUCCUGCUUUCCGCUUAGAAUGUCCUGGCCAUCAUCUCCAGCAUGUUUAAUGACUCUGAUUGAGGUGUUGCCUUUUAAAAUUACCUGGAAAGCUGGGAGUAGCUGCAGGGAAUGAAUUCGCAUCCCAAUGGCUGCGUGGAUAGGAAGUAGCCCACGGAGCAGGCGCGUUGAGCGCAGGAAGCGCCGCCUCCCCCUCUGCAGUCUUUGUUCUGCUCCUAUAACUGCGUCCCUAUUGCGCAGAGUCUUUGGAAAAGAAUCUGAGAGUGAGUGCUGAGAACUGCUCCACCUAGCCACGACUGCAGAGACCAACGUGAGAAUGACUGGAUCGACAGACACUGCAGUUCCACCAAAGAAAUUAUGUAAGCCACUAGAAUUUGAAAACUAACUCUACCGAAAAUCAUAUAGACAGAAUCGGCCUGGACUUAAAUGACAGCGGCUUGUGGCAGACUGUUUUGGAAAUUUCGGAUGGCAUCUUAAUAUCAGCAUUUAAAAAUUCGGAUGCUGAGAAAAGCUCUACAAAUGUUAUCACGUAACUUUCAGAAACCAUCUCCUCUGACUCCAGAAGUGAAUGGAGAGCCAUUACAGCAGUAGAUACUGGAAACUGCUACUGAGGGACCGUAGACCAGAGGAGCAGGACUGCCACUCCUCGGUGAUGGGCAUGGGGCAGAACAGCUCUAGACCAAAAAAAGAAAAAGAAGGAGGAGGAGGAGAAGGAAAAGCCUUAGAGCCUUGGAUUUCGAGCCACAUCUGUGCAGCUCACCUAUCCUGCAGAAGAGCCGAUCCUCACUGUGACCACGUUCCAGGUGAUCCUCAUUGACAUCUUAAGGUAGAGUUCUGCUGUAAUUUCUAUACAAUCUUAUAACUCAUACAGAAUAGAAUCUACUGUUUCCAGAUUGCAGCAAUGCUUGAUUUUGAUUUAAAAAAAAAAAAAAAAAGGAACCGCAAGGAUAAAAGAUUGGAGGCAGUCUAUAAAGACCCAUUUCCAAAGUCCCAGUUGAAGUGGAGGUCACUGUCAACCAGGUGUCCACAGGUAAGAACUGCUAUUACAUAAACAGGCCAACUGAGCCCUUUGCUUAAAUGGACAGGAGUGAGCCCACGGACAGUUCACCUCCAAGAAUUGCUAUGUAAUUGUCACCUACUGAGAGAUGGGACCCUGAACGGGAGCAGACUCUAAAGCACAAUCUUGCCAUCAGUGCCCUCACAGGGCUGAGCCAUCUCUUUUCUGCAGCACAAGCGUUAUUACCCAAGCAUUUUCAUCAACAAAAGUAGUCUAUGUGCGGAGAGUGAUGGUGCAUGCCUGUAACCUCGGCAUCCAGGAGACUGAGCAAGAAGAUCCAGAGUUUAAGGCUAGCCUCAACUACAAAGUGAAAUGCUAACAAAACAACAACAACAGCAAAAGCAAUCAAAGUGCUUCUUUUCAGAAGACGGGUCAUUGUUUUUCUUUCUUCCCUUUUCCUUUUGUGGUGCUGAGGUGUAGUCGUGAGGCCUUUUCUGUGCUAGGCAGGUGACCCAUAGUGAGCCACAUCUGAGCCUUUAUUUUUCCUUGAGACAGGGUAUUGUUGUGUAGCAUAGGCUGACCUCAUAUUUAUAAUCCAUCUGUCUCUGCCUCCUGAAUGCUGAUUACAAAUGUGCACCGUUGUGCCUUGUGCCAAGGGGUUGGGAGCAUUCACCCAAGCCUCCUGCAGUACUUUGGACCAGUGCUUAGGAUCUUUCAUAAUUCCUGUUCCUCCCUGACCAAGUGACUUUGCAUCAAGAGAGUGCUACUGUCCUGUGUCAGCAAGGCCAGACUGCAGCAGUAUUCCUGGAGACGACCUGGAAACUGGUCCUCAGCCUGAUAAUCAGGGUUUGGCUGGCUCAAUGCCAUCCAGAGCCUCCCUAUUGGGGUGGGUGGCUGACACAAAAUACAAGGAGUAUGCUUUGCCAACACCUUCAUAAGAUAAGACACUGCAGUGCACACUGUGGAGCCUGUCUACCUCGUGACCAAAGUAUACACCAACUUGAAGCACAAGAGCUAACUGCCCUAUCGCAUAUUUCAGACCAGCUAAUGUGGUUCUUCAACCUGGGGACUCAUACAGCUAAGUAUGUACAACACUGCUCCGUCUCAGAGUCAGAACCUACCAGGGCCUAUGUGGUGGAUAGUCACCACGUUGUCUAGCCUUUACCAUGAGUUUUCAGGAGUUGCUGCCAGACUUCAGUGUGCCAAGUAUAUAGGUACACUUCCAGGUAGAUGGAGGUUUAGUUUUGAAAGCCUUGCCUUAGUUUCUGUACUCUUCCUCCUCAAAGGGAUUCUGGCAAUCAUCCUGGGCCUGUUACCGAUCUCCAACACUAGGAAUGUCUGCUGGCGAAGCAUGGAUUUGAAGUUGCUCCCAACAUAAGCCUCACCUUUUAGUAGAAUCGAUGCAUGACUUCACCUAGCAGAUUAAUUCUAGAAACAUCUUUCAAUUGGACAUUGCCUGCAGUGCCAACAGGGGAGCCUUACAUGUUGUAUUGGAGUCAAAUACAUGCAUGUGAGUUUGAAUAUUUUCACUUAGUACAACUUUUAUAAGUUGUUCCUACCUGUCUUUUGUUGGUGGGAAUGGGAAGCUCUACCAGUUUACUGAAUACUUUUAUAUGUGCUUUAUUUUGCCUCUUUAGUUCACAAUUCCUUCUAGAAGAACUUUGCAUGCAUUAAUUUGCAUUAACAUGUUCUGAAAACGCUUGUCCUUACAAUAAUGAAGGGGGGUUAUUGCACUGUUAAGUUACUACCCUUGAAGUCCAUAUACUUUGAGGUGCUGAGAAACUGUGAAUUUAGUUAUAUAAGAGCAGAAAUUCUCCUUCCAAGAACGAUUUAUAUGGCUGUUAAAUCCCCCCUUCCUUUCCUCAUUUUCUGAAACUUUCAUGGCUAUUGUAUCUAGUUGGCUGCCAGCAUCCAUCUCAAUUGUUUCUGAAAUGUAAAUACCAUAUUUUCUUGUUAGAUAAAGAAAUGUAAAUUACUGUAACCUGAGAUGCUGUCAUUUUUAAACCUUCUUUAUCAAGGAAUAAAUUAAAACAUUUGCAAAGAUGUAUAUUUUAAAUAUAACAAUGGAAGAUCAGCAAAAGCUAUGGGACUUCUAAUUAAGUACAGACAAUUAUGACUUCUUGACCUAAGACAACCAAGAGGUAAAUUUAAGUUAUAAUGAUUACAAAAGAAAAUUCAUAUUCCAUUUUGUCAUUUAUUAAUGUGAGAGUUCAACUUUUUUCAUUUUCUUUCUUCUCCUUCUUCUUCUUCUUUUGUUUUUAUCUGAAACAUUCUUUUGUAGGCAGGUUGACCUCAAACCCAUUGUGUAAGCCAAGAAUGAUGUCAACCUUCUUGUCCUCCUGACUCUAACUUCCUGUUUGGAUUACAGGAUUACAGACAUGCACACCACCCUUGGAUUUCUUCUGUGCUGUGGAUUAAACUCGGGGCUUUGUUCAUGCUCAGCUGUGAAGCAGAUCAGCUGAGCUACAUCUCCCACCCAAGUUCAGCCUUUGUGAAGUAAAAUACAUAAAGAAUCAUAAAUUUAACAUAUAUUUACAAGAAAAUAUUUCUCUCUGAUGAAAGGAUCUCUGGAAUAUUUAUAUGUCCAAAUAAUUUAUACUAAUGCGUUACAAAAAAUGUCAUUUUAUUACUAUAAUCCCAAAGUCAUCAUUUCUGUACAGGAAUGUGUAAGUGAGCAUUAGGCACUGAUAAUUUACUUUUUGAAUACAGUAAAUUACAACAAAGCAAACAAAAGUAUUGUGAGUGUUCUGACCUUGGAGUGCACUUAUCUUAGUGAAAGUACUUCAGAAUUCAGCAGAGCAUCAUGGAAUGCCAUGCCACUGUGUUAGAGUGAGUCAGGAAACUCAGCAUAUGACAGAAUGGCAGGAAAUACAUGUGUAUAUGUAAAUGUGUAAUUUAUAAAACAUAUACUAGUUUUUUAUAUUACUUUAAAUGAUUUAUUGUGUAUUUCUCAUAACUAGAACAAAAGCAUUGACAUCCCAAGAAUAACCGUUAGGCUGCACCAUUGGCUGUGGGAAGGAGUGGCUCCCAGUGUCUGCUCAGCUGCUGCUGUGGUCAGCCUAAUGAUUCUAAGUGCAUGGUGAUAACAGCUUUUUAAACUGACCUUUCUCAGAUCUUCACGCCUCUCUUCUAAUUGUUUUGGAAUCUAUUAAAAAACCUUUUUCUUCUUGUACCUUCACCUCUUUUAUUUCACUUUCAGAUUUUUGUUUAAGUUGGUUUGCUAUCAACCACCAUUUUCCCGUUUUGUCUUUCUGAACAAAGUAAUCAGCAAACUUUCCAUAUCUGCCAACAUCUCACUCAGUGGACAAACAUCUUUCACUGAGUGUUACAGUCACUUAGUGGUUCAGAAUAUGUGAAAGUCGGCAAAAGUUUGCUGUUACGGCAGCUGAUCUGCAAGCUGAGACAACACUCCAGAUAAAGCAGGCUAGUUCUCAGAAUGACCUACAACCACAGCACUUUUAGCAGAAGGAACACUGUUAACUGGAAGUUCUUUUCUAAAACAAGCAAGUCUUCAAAACUGGAAGAUACUCCUCCAGAUUCUCAAAUGAUUCCUGCUUUGCUUCAAACCAUAAGAUUCAAUUUAUUCAACUGGGUAUGAUGGCGCACGCCUUUAAUCCCAGCCCUUGGGAAGCAGAGGCAGGUGGAUCUCUGAGCUUGAGGCCAGCCUGGUCUACAGAGUGAGUUCUAGGAUGGCCAGGGCUACACAGAGAAACCCUGUCUCAAAACUAAACUAAACUAAACUAAACAAAAAACAGAUUCAAUUCAUUCAUCUCGACUGUCUAUUUGUUGACUGGAUCUUCAGCCUUCUUCACCAUUCUAAUCCCAGCUCCACGCUGAGCUCUGGGCUUUCCAAGAACUCCCUUCAGCCCAGAUCCUGUAGUGAAGCUUUACUCUCCGUUCUCUGCAAAUGCAUCUCUUUUGCCUACUUUGACCUUCAUCAUACACUAGCAUUCCAUUAGUCUCAUACUGAAAGGACCGGAUGUUGAGCUUCAUAGCUGCUCCUGAGGACCCACAAGCGAGCCUGCAACAAGCCAGGGUGUGCUCACCUCUGCAGCUGUGCCCCUCCAUCUCCCUAACAGUGACGGGAAGAAAAGCGGCAUCCUCACCAUCCUCUGCAAAAGAUGCUGCUGCUUAAGGAAACCUCCUCUGGGAGAACAUAGUGCAUGACCGUAGAACACCUAUUAUCCCUAUAGCAUCCCUAAAAAUAAAGAUGUGUCUAUCUUCAUCCUUGAAGAAUAAUAUCACAACUUCUCUGACUUUUGAGUUUGAAGUCUAAAUUAUACAUUCCUGUGAUCUUUUUAAUGAAAUUGCAAGACCCCAUUUUUAUCCUCUUCAAAAUAUAUUGCCAGGCAUGGUGGCACACGCCUUUAAUCACAGCACUCAGCAGAUUUCUGAGUUCGAGGCCAACCUGGUCUACAAAGUGAGGGUAAUUUUAAAUCUUUCUUAAUAUAGCUUCUUCAGAAAAAAAAAGGAAAAUACGGAUAUGGUUUAACAUUGUCUUCAAAAAUAUCAGUGUUCUGAAAAUAUUCAAAGUACAAUGAAAGGAAGAUGGAGUGGAGACUAUCCUGAAGUCUGAAAGUUGAUCUCACACACACACCUAAUGUUUUUUUUUUCAUCCUCCUUGUGGCCUGAGAAAUUAUCAAAUGACCAAGCUAUACAACAAAAAUGGAAGGCCGAUUUUCUUCUCUUUGUAGUUAGAGAACUCUUAGCUAUUAUUUCUUGGAUAGCAAACAGGGAAAUCAGAUAAUUUGGACUACCAGGUUCUCCGGCACAGUGUAAUACAACAACAUAUCUAUAAAGAAGUGAACAUUGCUUCUUCUUUACAUAUAGUACAUACAUAAUACAUAUGUCCAUAUGUACAUGCAUGCGUACAGACAUACUAUUGUAAAAAAAAAAAGUAUAUAUAUUUUUAACUAUUUAUCUGACAGUAAACCAGGACUUAAGAUACCUGAUUGCAUUUUCAAGGAGUGCAGUAACUUGUUAGGACUCUGGGCGCCGCUGUUCACCAAGCUGGGGGAUAUAUGCACUACACCACACUCCCAACU
ensembl:lincRNA 3222401L13Rik RIKEN cDNA 3222401L13 gene